rnacentral:rRNA from 1 species
UACGUAGGUGGCAAGCGUUGUCCGGAUUUACUGGGCGUAAAGAGCGCGCAGGCGGUCGUUCAAGUCGCGUGUGAAAGCCCCCGGCUCAACUGGGGAGGGUCACGCGAUACUGAUCGACUCGAAGGCAGGAGAGGGUAGUGGAAUUCCCGGUGUAGUGGUGAAAUGCGUAGAUAUCGGGAGGAACACCAGUGGCGAAGGCGACUACCUGGCCUGUUCUUGACGCUGAGGAGCGAAAGCGUGGGGAGCGAACAGG